GGUUAAGCGACUAAGCGUACACGGUGGAUGCCCUGGCAGUCAGAGGCGAUGAAGGGCGUGCUAAUCUGCGAUAAGCGCCGGUAAGGUGAUAUGAACCGUUAUAACCGGCGAUACCCGAAUGGGGAAACCCAGUGUGAUUCGUCACACUAUCAUUAACUGAAUCCAUAGGUUAAUGAGGCGAACCGGGGGAACUGAAACAUCUAAGUACCCCGAGGAAAAGAAAUCAACCGAGAUUCCCCCAGUAGCGGCGAGCGAACGGGGAGGAGCCCAGAGCCUGAAUCAGCAUGUGUGUUAGUGGAAGCGUCUGGAAAGGCGCGCGAUACAGGGUGACAGCCCCGUACACAAAAGCGCAUGUGCUGUGAGCUCGAUGAGUAGGGCGGGACACGUGGUAUCCUGUCUGAAUAUGGGGGGACCAUCCUCCAAGGCUAAAUACUCCUGACUGACCGAUAGUGAACCAGUACCGUGAGGGAAAGGCGAAAAGAACCCCGGCGAGGGGAGUGAAAAAGAACCUGAAACCGUGUACGUACAAGCAGUGGGAGCACCCUUCGGGGUGUGACUGCGUACCUUUUGUAUAAUGGGUCAGCGACUUAUAUUCUGUAGCAAGGUUAACCGUAUAGGGGAGCCGGAGGGAAACCGAGUCUUAAUUGGGCGUUAAGUUGCAGGGUAUAGACCCGAAACCCGGUGAUCUAGCCAUGGGCAGGUUGAAGGUUGGGUAACACUAACUGGAGGACCGAACCGACUAAUGUUGAAAAAUUAGCGGAUGACCUGUGGCUGGGGGUGAAAGGCCAAUCAAACCGGGAGAUAGCUGGUUCUCCCCGAAAGCUAUUUAGGUAGCGCCUCGUGAAUUCAUCUCCGGGGGUAGAGCACUGUUUCGGCUAGGGGGCCAUCCCGGCUUACCAACCCGAUGCAAACUGCGAAUACCGGAGAAUGUUAUCACGGGAGACACACGGCGGGUGCUAACGUCCGUCGUGAAGAGGGAAACAACCCAGACCGCCAGCUAAGGUCCCAAAGUCAUGGUUAAGUGGGAAACGAUGUGGGAAGGCCCAGACAGCCAGGAUGUUGGCUUAGAAGCAGCCAUCAUUUAAAGAAAGCGUAAUAGCUCACUGGUCGAGUCGGCCUGCGCGGAAGAUGUAACGGGGCUAAACCAUGCACCGAAGCUGCGGCAGCGACGCUGAUGCGUUGUUGGGUAGGGGAGCGUUCUGUAAGCCUGCGAAGGUGACCUGUGAGGGUUGCUGGAGGUAUCAGAAGUGCGAAUGCUGACAUAAGUAACGAUAAAGCGGGUGAAAAGCCCGCUCGCCGGAAGACCAAGGGUUCCUGUCCAACGUUAAUCGGGGCAGGGUGAGUCGACCCCUAAGGCGAGGCCGAAAGGCGUAGUCGAUGGGAAACGGGUUAAUAUUCCCGUACUUGGUGUUACUGCGAAGGGGGGACGGAGAAGGCUAUGUUGGCCGGGCGACGGUUGUCCCGGUUUAAGCGUGUAGGUGUGUGUUCCAGGUAAAUCCGGUUCACUUUAACACUGAGGCGUGACGACGAGGCACUACGGUGCUGAAGCAACAAAUGCCCUGCUUCCAGGAAAAGCCUCUAAGCAUCAGGUAACACGAAAUCGUACCCCAAACCGACACAGGUGGUCAGGUAGAGAAUACCAAGGCGCUUGAGAGAACUCGGGUGAAGGAACUAGGCAAAAUGGUGCCGUAACUUCGGGAGAAGGCACGCUGACACGUAGGUGAAGUGAUUUACUCAUGGAGCUGAAGUCAGUCGAAGAUACCAGCUGGCUGCAACUGUUUAUUAAAAACACAGCACUGUGCAAACACGAAAGUGGACGUAUACGGUGUGACGCCUGCCCGGUGCCGGAAGGUUAAUUGAUGGGGUCAGCGCAAGCGAAGCUCCUGAUCGAAGCCCCGGUAAACGGCGGCCGUAACUAUAACGGUCCUAAGGUAGCGAAAUUCCUUGUCGGGUAAGUUCCGACCUGCACGAAUGGCGUAAUGAUGGCCAGGCUGUCUCCACCCGAGACUCAGUGAAAUUGAACUCGCUGUGAAGAUGCAGUGUACCCGCGGCAAGACGGAAAGACCCCGUGAACCUUUACUAUAGCUUGACACUGAACAUUGAGCCUUGAUGUGUAGGAUAGGUGGGAGGCUUUGAAGUGUGGACGCCAGUCUGCAUGGAGCCGACCUUGAAAUACCACCCUUUAAUGUUUGAUGUUCUAACGUGGACCCGUAAUCCGGGUUGCGGACAGUGUCUGGUGGGUAGUUUGACUGGGGCGGUCUCCUCCUAAAGAGUAACGGAGGAGCACGAAGGUUGGCUAAUCCUGGUCGGACAUCAGGAGGUUAGUGCAAUGGCAUAAGCCAGCUUGACUGCGAGCGUGACGGCGCGAGCAGGUGCGAAAGCAGGUCAUAGUGAUCCGGUGGUUCUGAAUGGAAGGGCCAUCGCUCAACGGAUAAAAGGUACUCCGGGGAUAACAGGCUGAUACCGCCCAAGAGUUCAUAUCGACGGCGGUGUUUGGCACCUCGAUGUCGGCUCAUCACAUCCUGGGGCUGAAGUAGGUCCCAAGGGUAUGGCUGUUCGCCAUUUAAAGUGGUACGCGAGCUGGGUUUAGAACGUCGUGAGACAGUUCGGUCCCUAUCUGCCGUGGGCGCUGGAGAACUGAGGGGGGCUGCUCCUAGUACGAGAGGACCGGAGUGGACGCAUCACUGGUGUUCGGGUUGUCAUGCCAAUGGCACUGCCCGGUAGCUAAAUGCGGAAGAGAUAAGUGCUGAAAGCAUCUAAGCACGAAACUUGCCCCGAGAUGAGUUCUCCCUGAGACUUAGAGUCUCCUGAAGGAACGUUGAAGACGACGACGUUGAUAGGCCGGGUGUGUAAGCGCAGCGAUGCGUUGAGCUAACCGGUACUAAUGAACCGUGAGGCUUAACCUU
rnacentral:rRNA from 1 species